rnacentral:lncRNA from 1 species
UGUUUGUUUCGAGAUAAACAUGACCGGCAGCCGCAAUUUCUCUCUUAAAAUAAUAAGUCGUUCGAUCAAGGCGGUAAAUGCGAUACGUAUCGUCCACUGGAUUCAGGUGGGCAAUGGCUACUUGAGACCCCAGUGCCCCUGGGGAAAAGACAAUGUUGUCACUAGCGCCACUCGGCAGUCGGAAGGAAAUGGCCUCUGUACUUGAACUCCAUUCCAGUCUGAUGUCUGCUCACUACUGUCUGCUCUCUGCUUUCUGCCUUCAUUCCUAGCAUUUGGUUUGACCUCGUGGUUUGGAAAUUUUGGCGUUUAAUUUUAUCACUUUAUAAGUUACGUUAAUUUUUUACGUUUUACGUUAUUUUUUUUGUAAUCAUGUUAAAUAUUUACCAAAUCUAACUUAUCAAAAGCAAAUUGUGAUCACCGGCUCGAGAGAGAAUAGUAGAAUUGGUUUCUUUGACAAAAUUUUUAGCACAGUAGAUAGAUAGAAGAUAGUAGGUAACAUACAAUACUUACUAUCUUUGACAGAUCAAAAGUAUAAUUAUUGUGAUUGAACUAAGAGACAUCUUUAUUUCCUUCUAACAUGAAUUCAAAUCUCUCCAGGUUACUUAAUGUUAAUGGACUUACAUUACACCAGGAAAAUGACAGCCAGCGUUUACAGCCGUUAUGGUACAUAAACAAUAUAGAAGCUUCUGUAGAAAAUACGCCAGAAGUCAGUCACUAGGUAGUGGGAUCAUACGAACUGCCAAGAUUUUUUCCGAGAUCUUAGUGAAUUGUGUCUGUUGUAAGUAUUUCAGAACACCUGUCAUCUGCAGCUGUAUCUUCAUUCGUGCCAUAGCGUUCUUUGCAUCAAGGUUGUUGUUCACGUUAAUGAUUCAAGUUCAUGGUUAAAAAAAGUGAAGAAAUUUCGCUGAAAAAGUCAUCUUCUGGUUUUCCGAACAACAUUAUCCUUUUGUAAUAAUCAGGAGCUCUACGCAUUUAUCAAAAAAUCCAGGAACACUUUCUACAGGAACAUGGGUGAACACCCGAAGACAGGUAUGAUUUUUAUCUCAACUCCCUUGGUAACACAUGAACUUUUCUAAUGGAAUAUAGUAGCAAAAGUAACAACAGCAGAUAGUUUACUGAUUAAUUUGUCCACUGUUUGAAUUUUUGGAAACCAUGCCUGCUGAUAAUGAAUCUCUUGCUAAUGACUUGCAAUGUGAUUUGCAGGAAAUCCUUUAGGGAACCAGAUUUAGCUCGUGGUUUUGGUCAAGUUCAGUUCUUAAUUGAAUAGAAAGCUAGUUGAUAACAUUAUUUAUAGUUUUUAUCAUUACAUUUUUUAAAGUAAUAAUGCUUUCAAAUAUUCUUUUGAAGAAUGGACAAUUGGAAAUCAGUAUGCUUGUUCUGAGAAAUUUCCGCAAGAGAUAACAUUGAUGGUAUUAUUUAUUUUUUCCCCUUUGCAGUAGGAUUCCUUCUUCAAAGGUGAUUGAUUAAUUUUGUGUCUAUUUGGGCGCUGAUCCUUAGCAACCUUACAUCACUAGCCAUAGCUAUGUUUUCCCUCUUCGAAAGUGACAUUUUGUGAAAUGAGGUCAAAUGAUUCUGUUGAUAUCUAAUCUUUUUGCAAUCAGUUUAGUUUGAAUUAGCUUGAUUUUCUAACGAUUAAUACCGUAGACGUAUGGUAGGAAUUAUAGAAUAGCCCAGCUGUUCAGUUGACAUACUUAUUCAUAAACCAUUGUGAUGCCUUUACAUUAUUUAUUUUUUAACCUCAAGGUCUAAUAUUUUUUAAUUGAUUCAAUUUGUCUUUGAACAAUUCGCCAAAUUUGGGAAAAUUCACAUUGUUAUUAUUGGGGAAUCCUGAACUCCCAUGACUGUGGGCGAUAAGGGCGAUCGACUUGCUCAGAUGGAUUGUAAGACAACCUAGUAUGAUCCAGCUGGGGGUAAGGCUAAGGUAAAUUGUCGUGAAGUUUUCGAGUUUCGUAGGUUCUAGAAAAUAAUGAUGUAGGAGGAUCGUAGCAUGGACUCUUUGGAGGAGUGUAGGGCGUUUGUGGGUGAACGGGAAAGUGGUUGGCCGCUUGUUGGGUGUAAUCUGGAUUUGGUUUAUAUUUGAGUUUAAAUGAUUCAUACUUAUCGUUGAUUUGCUGGUAAUUUUAAUAUCCUUCGUGUUCUGUUAACUGAUUCCUUGGCUCACUCGAUUUGCCCGGUGCGAAUCCUUGGAUUACCGCACUGCUUUUCGCUUUUAUUUGAAGGUUAUCAAGUCUUGCAACUGCCGUGGGCAAAGGAGCAAGAAGAAUUGAAUCCAGAAACUUCGUAAGACGUUGUUAAACAUAUAUUGUUCGUUAGUUUUCAAUUUUCACGAAGGAGCUGCGUUCGAACAGGACUUUGAUGACAGCAGAGUGACAGUUUACAUUCAGUCAUUGCCCUUUGUACAACUUUUUUCUGGCACGUAUUUCUUGCAUUCUCGUAGAAUCAGGCUUCUGUUCAUGAGGGCUACGCUGGUCAAUCGUUCUGUAAAUAAAGAGCGUAAGUCCUUCUAAUAGACCAGCAUUGAUGUGAGCAAGGAUUUGCUUAGGGACAGUGAGACAUCAGCAAAUACUACAACGGAACCAUAUCCAAAUUAUAGAACAAAACUUGUGCAGCUGUGAUACUUCCCAAACACCUAUGCAGUUUGGAAUGCUUGUCAGCAGGUUAAUGUAAAAGAUGCCAAAUGUAAGACAUGGUAACAUGGUCCUGAUAGAAUGUGUGGGCCCCCUGAUGUAGCUGGGAACAUACAAUUUUUCAUGUUGGUUACACGAAGGCAGUAAUAACUGUGCUGCAAACAAUCUGCAAAACAUGCUUGUCUGUUCAUCCCAGUGACAAGAUGGCAAAUGUAUUGAGUAAAUCGAUUGCCGGAGAAAUAGGACCCAAAAAUAGGCCAUGGAGAAAUAGGACCUCUUUUUCUGACUUUCUUUUUAGGGUCCUAUUUCUCCGCUAGAUGGGUCCUAUUUCUCCCUCCUGUUAUUAAUGGCUGCCUAUGUUUCACAGCGUUGCUAAACUAAUUUUUUUAAAUAUAAUUAACUGAAUUAUCCUAACCUAACCUACCCCGCGAAACCUUUAUAUUUUAAAAAAUUAGUUUAGCAACGCUGCUGUAGAAACAUAGGCAGCCAUUAAUGAUAGGAGGGAGAAAUAGGACCCAUCUAGCGGAGAAAAAAAGUCAGAAAAAGGGGUCCUAUUUCACCGGGUCCUAUUUCUCCAUGGCCUUUUUUUGGGUCCUAUUUCUCCGGCUACCAGUAAAUCUGACUAAGGAAGCAAAUCUGAGAAGAGCUGCUAUGAUAAAGGAAACCAUUAAAGCCUCAAAAACCACAAAAGUACAUGUGUUACCUCUACCUGGCUCCUAAUCGAUGAUGGCUUGGAAUAUAGAAAAAACAAUGCUUAGAAAAGUAAAUUUUACAGUUGCCAACCGCAAUAGUUCCGCGCUGUAAUUAAUAAAAUCUCGGUCAGUGACUCAGUGUCGCCAACGUGAUACAGUCAUUCAACUCUUUACAUCGAAUCUGUUGAGAAGGAUACCUCAGGAUGGACACUAUUACUCCAAUUGUAAAUGAAUGGACACAGGUAAAAAGUUUAGAAGAGACUUUUAUUGGAUCACCUUGCAACCUCUUACUUUCAUUUGAAAGUAAUUCAAGUAGGUCGUCCUAAUGCAAUAAUAAUUUCUGAUUAAAUUUUUAUAGUGUCUUUACAGCACUCAUGCAGCCACCAUAUAGACAUUUUAAAAACAUUUUAGAAUAUGUAAACUAUGGCACUAAGUUAAUGUCUCCAUACUUCGUAUGUUUGUCGCAUAUGAAGAAGAAUGAAAAUGGAAUGUGAUGCCUAGGUAGUAUAAUGAGGUCAGAAGAUUGACCAACAUCUAUGGAAAAAUGACUUUGCUGAUGGUAGUAUUUUGUUCCAAGAAUGUUGAAUGUGUAGUGUGAAGGUUUAUCAGAUAGUUGUACUGACACAACCUUUGUUUUCUAGAACCAGCUACAUUUAGCAGGUUUGCUUUAUUAGAGAACUGUUAAAUAUUUGAUAUUCAUAAUAUUCGCAAGGCUUUUAAGAAAAUAGUUUUCAUUGCACUAGCGACAAUUCGGAAUGGCGAGGUGCGAGUGAUUCGGAUAUAAAAUCAACGUUGAUAUGCAAUAGGUGUCGAAAAUUUUCUGAGCUGUAUAAAUUUUUUUAAUUUAAAAAAUGUUAGAUUCGCAGCUGGCAAGAAAUGACGACGAUUGGUGAUGAAACAAUUUAUUCUGACGGCUGUAAUUCAUGGACACGUCGACAUUCAUGGUAAUCAAACUUAGAACGUCUGCAAUACGAAAUUUUUGACCAUUUUAAAGGAAAGCUGCCAACAUAUUUUCAGCAUUUUAAUAAAACAAUAAGCGCGUUCAUUCCCUUCAACCAAUUGUCAACGAGAGGCCCCGUAGGAAUCUUCCAUUCCUCACUUUUAUUGUAGCUGACAGUGACUGUAAUUAUGGCUUACUUAGCCCAUGCUUAUCAAGAGCUGCCUUCUUCGUUCUCCAACCUAAAAACUCAUCUUCAAAAGCUUCCCGGUUUUUUAUGGUCGUAGAGAACAGCAGACGACGGAUUUGAGGAAGUAACAAAGCAAAUAAGAAAGGAAAAGUCUAUUGCCCCUCAAAAGUUGAGGGGUAAUAGCCAAAAAGUCUAUUGCUCCUCAAAAGUUGAGGGGCAACAGGCGUGACCAAUAAGAAAUUCGUACAUUUCGUUUGAAGUACGUACUACUCGAAUUGAACAGUUCAAAGCGGCAUUGUACCAUCGGGCAGAACCCAAAAGGUCGAUGCAUUGAAAAUGUCGGACCUCUGUUGAUGAAUUUUCACCAGCACUAUUCCACAAGACGCACGCAAAGCAAACGAUAGCGAAGGAGAUAUGGACUUGAAUUGAUUGUUUACAACCCAUGGCUUUCCCGCAUUCCAGGAUUAGUCUUGUACACCUUUUGCAUUUGUACAGAGCGUUCGGGAACGAAAGUAGUUGUGGAUUGGUUUGCUGUUGUCAAGCAAGGGAAGGAUAACCAAAGUAGACAGGAUAUCUAUUCUAAAUCCCACAAUGUCCUGGUAAUAAAUUGUAAGAAAUAUGCCAAAAGGAUUUCACCGUAUUAAGUAGGAGUAUCAGCAAAAAUUUAAUACUAACCCGUGUUUUUUUUCUUUAUUGUACACUACAAACCAUACUGAACUAGAAUAGGAUUUGGACUGAGGUUGGGUGCCAUAACAAUGGUUGAUAAUUGGAAGUGUGAUUGGAAAUAUCCAUGAUGAUGCAAAAUAUGGAAAGGAGAUUGAACUGAAACGUGAUCCAAGUUUUUGUUUUUUUCUGGGCAUCUUGAGCUGAGUUGUUUGAAUGUGAACUUUAUUUGGCAUUUUUCUAUGAGCAAGUGUGUUUUCCCAAAGGUUCUGGUGUCUGAAGUAAUAUUGGUAAAGUUAAGGUUUAAAUUCUAUAAUUUUCUAUGUGACUAAUUGAUCUGUAGCCCUGCUUAACUUGGAAAUGAGAUUGAAGGAGAGGAAGCAUUUCUCUUCUUUAAAAAACAUCUACCCAGCUGCAUGCAACCAGUGUCUUCUUGAUCACAAUGAAAUUGUUAUUAGAAACAGAUAAAGCCAAACAUCCAGUAUUAGCACAUUGGGAAAGUGUUCAACUUAAAAAAAGCUUUAAGUCAUGCAAGUAAGAAACAUUUAUUUAACACUAAUCACUUCUCAAUUGAUUCACAGUAGAGCUCUGGAAAACAAUUGUGAAGUUAUAUAUUCUUAUUGAAUUGAAACGUUUAAAGUGAUUGGAAGAGAUAGUGCGCGUGCAUUUAGUUCCAAAGCAUCUAGGUACUUCGCGUAGUUUGUCAUCUGUAAUCCGUCCCCCUCUCCAAUCUUCCUCUAUUCUUCUAUACCAUUCUAUUCCACAGUUUUGUCCUCGCUUGUGGAGAUUUAUUUAUUUGCGUAUACAUUAUUUUAAUUUAAAUGUAUUCUUUGAAACUGAUUGAAUGUUAAUGUGUUAAAAUGCAGGUAGAACGUAACGGAAUCACUCAGUCGUUUCGGCCAGUGUGGGGAAGAGUGGAGUUCAAUCUGGCCGAGAUCUAACGACUAAGCGUUAAGAAUGGAAUUAUUUGACAAAAUUUAAUACUAACUCAUGUUUUUUCUUUAAUGUAGACUACAAACUAUACUGAACAAGAAUAGGAUUUUGACUGAGGCUGGGUGCCAAAACAAUGGUUGAUAAUUGGAAGCGCGAUUGGAAAUAUCCAUGAUUUAUUAACGUUCUCUCGUGUUACGGUAUUUUAUUAAAGACAAAUUGAAGUGCA